GUGCGUCUUCAGGGCGGGGCGAAAUUCCCCACCGGCGGUAUGUGCAAGGGCCGAAACGCCUUUCACGAGCCCGCGAGCGCCCGCCGGCAGGAUCGGCGGGGUCAGCAGAUCUGGUGCGAAGCCAGAGCCGACGGUCAUAGUCCGGAUGGAAGAAGAUGUGC
rnacentral:ncRNA from 2 species